UCCGGUAUAGUGUAACGGCUAACAUAUCGCGUUUUCAUCUUGCAAAGAGAAAAAACCGCGGGGCUCGGGGUUCGAUUCCCCGUACCGGAG